CGCUGCAUUCGCUCUAGAAUUAUAGCUUUACAAUAUGAGUUCGGCCAUUUCAACUUUUCUUCCAACGCAGUGUGGUCGUUACUCUAGCACGAUUGAGAGUAAGGAUUGUACAAAAUGGUGAAUGGAAGAAUACCUUCGGUUUUCUCAAAAACUUAUGUUACCCCAAGAAGACCUUAUGAAAAAGCUCGUUUAGAUCAAGAAUUACGAAUUAUUGGUGAAUAUGGUCUUCGUAAUAAGCGUGAAGUAUGGAGAGUUAAAUAUACUCUAGCAAAUAUCCGAAAAGCUGCUCGAGAACUUCUUACUUUAGAAGAAAAGGAUCCUAAACGUUUAUUUGAGGGAAAUGCUCUUUUACGUCGUUUGGUAAGAAUUGGAGUGUUAGAUGAAAGCCGUAUGAAGCUUGAUUAUGUUCUUGGUUUGAAGAUUGAAGAUUUCUUAGAAAGACGACUUCAAACACAAGUAUUUAAAUUAGGACUUGCCAAGUCUAUACAUCAUGCUCGUGUACUUAUUCGUCAACGUCACAUUAGACAGGCCACUUAAGUGUUAGUGAAACUACACUUAACGUCUGUUAUAUAUUAACGGAUAUAAAUUCAUUUUAAAAAUAAUUGAGUACGCAAACAAGUAGUGAACAUUCCAUCUUUCAUUGUAAGAUUGGAUUCACAGAAACAUAUUGACUUUUCACUAAAAUCUCCAUUUGGUGGUGGCAGACCUGGUCGUGUAAAGAGGAAGAAUCUGCGUAAAGGAAGUGGAGGAGCUGCUCCAGAGGAAGAAGAA